rnacentral:rRNA from 1 species
GAUUAUGGCUCAGGACGAACGCUGGCGGCGUGCUUAACACAUGCAAGUCGAACGGUGAACCCUCCUCGGAGGGGGAUCAGUGGCGAACGGGUGAGUAACACGUGAGCAACCUGCCCCUGGCUCUGGGACAACCACUGGAAACGGUGGCUAAUACCGGAUACGACCCACCUCGGCAUCGGGUGUGGGUGGAAAGUUUUUCGGCUGGGGAUGGGCUCGCGGCCUAUCAGCUUGUUGGUGGGGUGAUGGCCCACCAAGGCGACGACGGGUAGCCGGCCUGAGAGGGCGACCGGCCACACUGGGACUGAGACACGGCCCAGACUCCUACGGGAGGCAGCAGUGGGGAAUAUUGCACAAUGGGCGAAAGCCUGAUGCAGCGACGCCGCGUGAGGGAUGACGGCCUUCGGGUUGUAAACCUCUUUCAGCUCCAAAGAAGCGCAAGUGACGGUAGGAGCAGAAGAAGCACCGGCUAACUACGUGCCAGCAGCCGCGGUAAUACGUAGGGUGCAAGCGUUGUCCGGAAUUAUUGGGCGUAAAGAGCUCGUAGGCGGUGUGUCGCGUCUGCUGUGAAAACUCAGGGCUCAACUCUGAGCUUGCAGUGGGUACGGGCACACUUGAGUGCUGUAGGGGAGACUGGAAUUCCUGGUGUAGCGGUGAAAUGCGCAGAUAUCAGGAGGAACACCGGUGGCGAAGGCGGGUCUCUGGGCAGUUACUGACGCUGAGGAGCGAAAGCAUGGGGAGCGAACAGGAUUAGAUACCCUGGUAGUCCAUGCCGUAAACGUUGGGCGCUAGGUGUGGGGUCCAUUCCACGGAUUCCGUGCCGCAGCUAACGCAUUAAGCGCCCCGCCUGGGGAGUACGGCCGCAAGGCUAAAACUCAAAGGAAUUGACGGGGGCCCGCACAAGCGGCGGAGCAUGCGGAUUAAUUCGAUGCAACGCGAAGAACCUUACCAAGGCUUGACAUGCGCGGUGGAAUCCCAGAGAUGGGGUGUCAUUUAGUUGGUCGCGUACAGGUGGUGCAUGGUUGUCGUCAGCUCGUGUCGUGAGAUGUUGGGUUAAGUCCCGCAACGAGCGCAACCCUCGUUCCAUGUUGCCAGCAAUUCGGUUGGGGACUCAUGGGAGACUGCCGGGGUCAACUCGGAGGAAGGUGGGGAUGACGUCAAAUCAUCAUGCCCCUUAUGUCUUGGGCUUCACGCAUGCUACAAUGGCCAGUACAGAGGGCUGCGAUACCGCGAGGUGGAGCGAAUCCCAAAAAGCUGGUCUCAGUUCGGAUCGGGGUCUGCAACUCGACCCCGUGAAGUCGGAGUCGCUAGUAAUCGCAGAUCAGCAACGCUGCGGUGAAUACGUUCCCGGGCCUUGUACACACCGCCCGUCACGUCAUGAAAGUCGGUAACACCCGAAGCCGGUGG